rnacentral:rRNA from 1 species
ACUAACCAGGAUUCCCUCAGUAACGGCGAGUGAAGUGGGAAAAGCCCAGCACCGAAUCCCCCGGCGCGUUGGCCGGCGGGAACUGUGGUGUGAGGGACGUCACCAGUCGUGCUUGUCGGUGCCGAAGUUCUCCUGAUCGAGGCCUUUCCCAUAGCGGGUGUAAGGCCUUUGCAGGUGCCGACGGGUGCGGCCGCGAUCGUCCCAGGAGUCGGGUUGUUUGGGAAUGCAGCCCUAAGCGGGUGGUAAACUCCAUCUAAGGCUAAAUACUGGCGCGAGUCCGAUAGCGGACAAGUACCGUGAGGGAAGGUUGAAAAGAACUUUGAAGAGAGAGUUCAAGAGUACGUGAAACUGCCCAGAGGUAAACGGGCAGACCCGCAAAGUCUGUCGGCGGAAUUCAGCCCGGCCGGGUGAAGAGAGCGCGUGCUGGUGGAUCUUGCGAACAGAGCACGUGUUCCUCGUUCACUCGACGGGUGCACUUUCCGUCGACCGAGCGCCACGACCGGCUCCCGGCCGACCAGAACCCAGCGAGGAAGGUGGGUGAGCGACUGCGCUCGUGCUGUCGUUCACUGUUACAGCCUCGCUGUGGAACGGGCUCGGUUCCGAGGGGGUCGAGGGUUACAUACCGCGCUUCGUCUGAGGCUGUCGGUCUGCGUGCGGGGGUUCGACUGGCAGGGACUGGGCAACCGUGCCUGCCGAUCGCCUCCGUUUCGUCAGUCCGGCACGCCUUGGGGCGCUUCGGGUUUGUGGUGAUAAAGUCGGCUAUCUGCCCGACCCGUCUUGAAACACGGACCAAGGAGUCUGGCGUGCGCGCGAGUCGUGGGGUUUUACGAAACCUGCAGGCGCAGUGAAAGCGAGGGUCUCCUCGGGAUGACCCAGGCGGGAUCCCGGCCUCGCUCGUGAGGUUGGGCGCACCGCCGGCCCGUCCUGUCCGCGCUGUCGGUGGGGCGGAGCGAGNGCNCNCNCGCCGGGACCCGAAAGAUGGUGAACUAUGCCUGAGCAGGGUGAAGCCAGGGAAACUC